UUAAGUUAGAAAGGGCGCACGGUGGAUGCCUUGACACUAGGAGUCGAUGAAGGACGGGACUAACGCCGAUAUGCUUCGGGGAGCUGUAAGUAAGCUUUGAUCCGAAGAUUUCCGAAUGGGGAAACCCACCAUACGUAAUGGUAUGGUAUCCUUAUCUGAAUACAUAGGGUAAGGAAGACAGACCCAGGGAACUGAAACAUCUAAGUACCUGGAGGAAGAGAAAGCAAAUGCGAUUUCCUGAGUAGCGGCGAGCGAAACGGAACAUAGCCCAAACCAAGAGGCUUGCCUCUUGGGGUUGUAGGACAUUCUAUACGGAGUUACAAAGGAACGAGGUAGACGAAGCGACCUGGAAAGGUCCGUCGUAGAGGGUAACAACCCCGUAGUCGAAACUUCGUUCUCUCUUGAAUGUAUCCUGAGUACGGCGGAACACGUGAAAUUCCGUCGGAAUCUGGGAGGACCAUCUCCCAAGGCUAAAUACUCCCUAGUGAUCGAUAGUGAACCAGUACCGUGAGGGAAAGGUGAAAAGCACCCCGGAAGGGGAGUGAAAGAGAUCCUGAAACCGUGUGCCUACAAAUAGUCAGAGCCCGUUAAUGGGUGAUGGCGUGCCUUUUGUAGAAUGAACCGGCGAGUUACGAUCCCGUGCGAGGUUAAGCUGAAGAGGCGGAGCCGCAGCGAAAGCGAGUCUGAAUAGGGCGUUUAGUACGUGGUCGUAGACCCGAAACCAGGUGAUCUACCCAUGUCCAGGGUGAAGUUCAGGUAACACUGAAUGGAGGCCCGAACCCACGCACGUUGAAAAGUGCGGGGAUGAGGUGUGGGUAGCGGAGAAAUUCCAAUCGAACCUGGAGAUAGCUGGUUCUCCCCGAAAUAGCUUUAGGGCUAGCCUUAAGUGUAAGAGUCUUGGAGGUAGAGCACUGAUUGGACUAGGGGUCCUCAUCGGAUUACCGAAUUCAGUCAAACUCCGAAUGCCAAUGACUUAUCCUUAGGAGUCAGACUGCGAGUGAUAAGAUCCGUAGUCAAAAGGGAAACAGCCCAGACCGCCAGCUAAGGUCCCAAAGUGUGUAUUAAGUGGAAAAGGAUGUGGAGUUGCUUAGACAACUAGGAUGUUGGCUUAGAAGCAGCCACCAUUUAAAGAGUGCGUAAUAGCUCACUAGUCGAGUGACUCUGCGCCGAAAAUGUACCGGGGCUAAAUACACCACCGAAGCUGCGGAUUGAUACCAAUGGUAUCAGUGGUAGGGGAGCGUUCUAAGGACAGUGAAGUCAGACCGGAAGGACUGGUGGAGUGCUUAGAAGUGAGAAUGCCGGUAUGAGUAGCGAAAGACGGGUGAGAAUCCCGUCCACCGAAUGCCUAAGGUUUCCUGAGGAAGGCUCGUCCGCUCAGGGUUAGUCAGGACCUAAGCCGAGGCCGACAGGCGUAGGCGAUGGACAACAGGUUGAUAUUCCUGUACCACCUCUUUAUCGUUUGAGCAAUGGAGGGACGCAGAAGGAUAGAAGAAGCGUGCGAUUGGUUGUGCACGUCCAAGCAGUUAGGCUGAUAAGUAGGCAAAUCCGCUUAUCGUAAAGGCUGAGCUGUGAUGGGGAAGCUCCUUAUGGAGCGAAGUCUUUGAUUCCCCGCUGCCAAGAAAAGCUUCUAGCGAGAUAAAAGGUGCCUGUACCGCAAACCGACACAGGUAGGCGAGGAGAGAAUCCUAAGGUGUGCGAGAGAACUCUGGUUAAGGAACUCGGCAAAAUGACCCCGUAACUUCGGGAGAAGGGGUGCUUUCUUAACGGAAAGCCGCAGUGAAUAGGCCCAAGCGACUGUUUAGCAAAAACACAGCUCUCUGCGAAGCCGUAAGGCGAAGUAUAGGGGGUGACACCUGCCCGGUGCUGGAAGGUUAAGGAGAGGGGUUAGCGUAAGCGAAGCUCUGAACUGAAGCCCCAGUAAACGGCGGCCGUAACUAUAACGGUCCUAAGGUAGCGAAAUUCCUUGUCGGGUAAGUUCCGACCCGCACGAAAGGUGUAACGAUUUGGGCACUGUCUCAACCAGAGACUCGGUGAAAUUAUAGUACCUGUGAAGAUGCAGGUUACCCGCGACAGGACGGAAAGACCCCGUGGAGCUUUACUGUAGCCUGAUAUUGAAUUUUGGUACAGUUUGUACAGGAUAGGCGGGAGCCAUUGAAACCGGAGCGCUAGCUUCGGUGGAGGCGCUGGUGGGAUACCGCCCUGACUGUAUUGAAAUUCUAACCUACGGGUCUUAUCGACCCGGGAGACAGUGUCAGGUGGGCAGUUUGACUGGGGCGGUCGCCUCCUAAAGUGUAACGGAGGCGCCCAAAGGUUCCCUCAGAAUGGUUGGAAAUCAUUCGUAGAGUGCAAAGGCAUAAGGGAGCUUGACUGCGAGACCUACAAGUCGAGCAGGGACGAAAGUCGGGCUUAGUGAUCCGGUGGUUCCGCAUGGAAGGGCCAUCGCUCAACGGAUAAAAGCUACCCCGGGGAUAACAGGCUUAUCUCCCCCAAGAGUCCACAUCGACGGGGAGGUUUGGCACCUCGAUGUCGGCUCAUCGCAUCCUGGGGCUGUAGUCGGUCCCAAGGGUUGGGCUGUUCGCCCAUUAAAGCGGUACGCGAGCUGGGUUCAGAACGUCGUGAGACAGUUCGGUCCCUAUCCGUCGUGGGCGUAGGAAAUUUGAGAGGAGCUGUCCUUAGUACGAGAGGACCGGGAUGGACGCACCGCUGGUGUACCAGUUGUUCUGCCAAGGGCAUAGCUGGGUAGCUAUGUGCGGAAGGGAUAAGUGCUGAAAGCAUCUAAGCAUGAAGCCCCCCUCAAGAUGAGAUUUCCCAUAGCGUAAGCUAGUAAGAUCCCUGAAAGAUGAUCAGGUUGAUAGGUUCGAGGUGGAAGCAUGGUGACAUGUGGAGCUGACGAAUACUAAUAGAUCGAGGACUUAACCAU
rnacentral:rRNA from 1 species